GUUGACCUCGGAUCAGGUAGGAAUACCCGCUGAACUUAAGCAUAUCAAUAAGCGGAGGAAAAGAAACCAACAGGGAUUGCCUCAGUAACGGCGAGUGAAGCGGCAACAGCUCAAAUUUGAAAUCUGGCCCCAGGCCCGAGUUGUAAUUUGCAGAGGAUGCUUUUGGCGCGGUGCCUUCCGAGUUCCCUGGAACGGGACGCCAUAGAGGGUGAGAGCCCCGUACGGUUGGACACCAAGCCUUUGUAAAGCUCCUUCGACGAGUCGAGUAGUUUGGGAAUGCUGCUCUAAAUGGGAGGUAUAUUUCUUCUAAAGCUAAAUAUAGGCCAGAGACCGAUAGCGCACAAGUAGAGUGAUCGAAAGAUGAAAAGCACUUUGAAAAGAGGGUUAAACAGCACGUGAAAUUGUUAAAAGGGAAGCGCUUGUGACCAGACUUGCGUCCGGUGAAUCACCCAGCUCUCGCGGCUGGGGCACUUUGCCGGCACAGGCCAGCAUCAGCUCGCUGUCGGGGACAAAAGCUUCGGGAACGUAGCUCUCUUCGGGGAGUGUUAUAGCCCGUUGCAUAAUACCCUUCGGUGGGCUGAGGUACGCGCUCCGCAAGGAUGCUGGCGUAAUGGUCAUCAGCGAC
rnacentral:rRNA from 1 species